CUGUGUCAAUCUAUAUGCCUGUACAAGAGAUCCCUCAGCAGUCGUUGCAUGUGCCACAUUAGACUGGCAUCAACCUUGGUGACCAUUGUGGCACUGCUAAUCUUUGCUGUAGGUUUGGGCAGCUUCUUCCUUCUAUGUACCACUGAUAGCUGUAAAGAGAUCUUCUCUAUAACAGGCCUGGUGGGUGAGUGGACGGGAUUCUUCGG